rnacentral:rRNA from 1 species
AACGAACGCUGGCGGCAUGCCUAACACAUGCAAGUCGAACGAGACCUCCGGGUCUAGUGGCGCACGGGUGCGUAACGCGUGGGAACCUGCCCUUAGGUUCGGAAUAACUCCCUGAAAGGGGUGUUAAUACCGGAUAAUGUCUUCGGACCAAAGAUUUAUAGCCUUUGGAUGGGCCCGAGUUGGAUUAGCUAGUUGGUAGGGUAAAAGCCUACCAAGGCGACGAUCCAUAGCUGGUCUGAGAGGAUGAUCAGCCACACUGGGACUGGGACACGGCCCAGACUCCUACGGGAGGCAGCAGUGGUGAAUAUUGGACAAUGGGCGAAGGCCUGAUCCAGCAAUGACGCGUGAGUGAUGAAGGCCUUAGGGUUGUAAAGCCCUUUUAGCCGGGAUGAUAAUGACAGUACCGGGAGAAUAAGCUCCGGCUAACUCCGUG